UAUCAGUGAUGAUCAACCCAGUUCUGCUUCUGAUCUCGUUGAAGAUAAUCAUACCAAAACCACCUGAUGA